GGUUGCAAUGCAUAUAUACAAUGCAUAUAGUUCCUAAAGUCAUACUUGAAUUUUCUGGCAACGCCUAAUGUUCCUAAUUAGUUGGCAACUCAGUUCUAAACGCAUCACAUGUUUAAAGCGUGCAUCAAUUUUAUUUGGUAUGCAGAACAGACAAUGGCAGAAGAAAAAAGUGGACACACGAGCGGAAGAAAUUAUUAAUAACAACAAGGCUUCGCCAUGAAGCAGAAUUUUCCGGCAAAAAAA